UGCGGAAGGAUCAUUAAAGAGUAAGGGUGCUCAGCGCCCGACCUCCAACCCCUUUGUUGUUAAAACUACCUUGUUGCUUUGGCGGGACCGCUCGGUCUCGAGCCGCUGGGGAUUCGUCCCAGGCGAGCGCCCGCCAGAGUUAAACCAAACUCUUGUUAUUAAACCGGUCGUCUGAGUUAAAAUUUUGAAUAAAUCAAAACUUUCAACAACGGAUCUCUUGGUUCUCGCAUCGAUGAAGAACGCAGCGAAAUGCGAUAAGUAAUGUGAAUUGCAGAAUUCAGUGAAUCAUCGAAUCUUUGAACGCACAUUGCGCCCCUUGGUAUUCCGAGGGGCAUGCCUGUUCGAGCGUCAUUACACCACUCAAGCUAUGCUUGGUAUUGGGUGCCGUCCUUAGUUGGGCGCGCCUUAAAGACCUCGGCGAGGCCUCACCGGCUUUAGGCGUAGUAGAAUUUAUUCGAACGUCUGUCAAAGGAGAGGGACUUCUGCCGACUGAAACCUUUUAUUUUUCUAGGUUGACCUCGGAUCAGGUAGGGAUACCCGCUGAACUUAAGCAUA
rnacentral:rRNA from 1 species